CAUGGGUGGGUAGAUCUAGGACCAGCCCCUCCACCUCCAACCCACUUGAGAGCAGCUUCAUUUGGACCAAUCUUAGGUCACCAGAAUUUCCUGAGGUGUUACUAGGUCACAGCUUCAGAUCCUCUGAGGACAGGAGCCAGACUGGUUGAUUUGUUAACUGCACUGUGUUGCUCUCUUGUCCCACAAGUGGAAGGUCCCAGGAAUCUCUCCUUUUGCAAGCAUCUCCCUGGAAGGAGUGUGGGGAGGCUGGGAAGCUUGAAGUCCUCAGCCUGCCUUUGAAAUAUCUCAUAGUAUUGCCAAGGGACAUGGCACGGGCACAUUUACCCAAAGGGUGGGGGCAGGAGUCACCCAAAGUGUCUGCCCACCUAGGCUUCAGUGGCCCCAAACAUUCUCAUGGGGUCAAUAGCUAUAUAUCAUUGUAGGGCAGCCUCUUAAUUAUAGAUUCAUUUCAUUUUAAGAACUUUUUGAAAACAAAGUGAAACUUUCUUGUGCAUCUUGUGAGAGAGACAUUCUGUGGCAGAUAUAAGUCAGGUAAAAGGCAGUCUGUUCCCACAGAGCUGAGACUCAGGAGGAGGGCCAGCCAGGAUUCAGGGUGAAUGACCAAGUGCUAGGGUCUGUGGGGAUGCUGGUGUGAUGCCCUCAGGAGCUGACAGCAGAUUGCCCCAGCUUGACGGUGAGCCCCUGAGCAGUCGGAAGAUUCCUAUAAAAAUCGUAGUCAUUGUAAAGGAAAACAAACACAGCAAAGCUCAAAGAAGAAAGUCAAUUUCGGUUGAGAUCCAGCCCUCCAGAAACAACUGGCCACAUUUGCUGCAAUGGCUGUCUGGAUGAGAACAGCUCUGUGCAACCCUGUAGGUGGAUUCCUUCAUUGAAUCUUCACAAGGACUCUGAGCAAAUCAUUUGAGGACCUCCCCCACUCUCCCCAGGAUGACGCAGCUGCAGUGGUGGGAGGAGGACCUCGGAGCCUCCAGCCCAACCAGUUGCCCAGGCUGUGCGCCCAGCCAUUGAAGCUCCUAAGAAGCCAGGUCCUGCUUACCCUGCUGAUUUGUGGAAAGAACACGAAAUCCCCCAUCACUGGCCUCUAGUUUGAGGAAAGAAGGGGAAACUUGAUUUAAGGGGCCUGCCGACCACAUCAACAACGCACACUAAGCUCUCGAAAGGGGAGCAGGCUUCCUGUAUCUCUAAUCCGUUAUCGACAUGUACUACUCUCGAAGUUGCCCCGAGAACUUGAUCCAUCUCUUGGUCUCCAACACCAGAGCAAGGGGUGUGGGCAGUAACUUGCAAAGGCCUUAGAAGAAGCAAGGAAUACUCACACGAACCCCCACCCAUCAGCUUGUUUCUGGAAUGCUCCAGAGAAAGAAGAGGGAGGAGCACUGCCCGACAGGACCAGUUAGGGGACAGUUCUACCAUGAUGCCAAUGAACUGCUUCUGGAGGCAGAGGCAUAUGCAGAGCUGCUUCAAGUGGUCAUGGCAUCACUGACCUGGGAGCCACUGUCCCACGAGCACUCCCUGGAGUCGUGGGAAGCAGCUGCUCCAUCUCAGUGCGACAAGCCCAGGAUCCCUGCUGGCAAAGUUGAUGAGAGGCGAAUCUCGGCCUUGCCUUCUGACUUCGCUCACAGGUUCUGCUCAGCCUCACUCUCACCUGCACUGCCUUCUGCUUACCCUCCUCCUGGUGGUGUCUGGAUGGCCUCUCCAGUGCUUUUUUGGUGAACCUUAUAGUUUAAGUAACAUGCAUAGGGAACCGUGUGUGCAGUGUGCUAAAUUACUGCGGAGGCAGCACACCUAGAUAAAAACGUUGAGACUUACCAUUACCCAGUAUGCUCCCUUCGUGUCUCCUCCCAAACAUCACCUCCUCCAGAGGUUACCACCAGUCCUAACUUCCCUCACAACAGAUUUAUGUUGCCUGCUUUAUUAUACUCUGGAUAACUGGAACCGUACAGUAUGUAGUCUUUUGAGCUUGGCUUCUUCCGCUUAAUACUCUGUGAGAUUCCUCUGCGUUGUUGACAGUUCUGUCUUUUCCAUCGCUGUCUAGAGCUCCAUUGCAUAAAUUUCUCAUGCAGUCUACUUACUCAUUCAUCCAUUCUCCCUCAAUGGACAUUUGCAUUCUUUUCAGUUUUUGACUAUCAUGAAUAACGGUGCCAUAAGCAUACAUUUUGGCAAAUAUAUGUAGGCAUCUCUGUUGAGUAUGUGUCUGAGACUGGAAUUGUUGGGUCACAAAGUAUGCUUACCCUCAGCUUCAGUGAAUGUUGCCUAAAUGGUUGUUCAGACAGUUGAGCAAAUUAUACUCCACUAGAAGUAUAUGAGCAUUCCUUUGCAGAACGUCCUCACCACCACUUGGUAGUAUUACUUUUAGACUGUGUGUAGCAGUAUCUCAUUGUGGCUUCAAUUUGCAUUUCUCUGAUGAUUAAGCCUUUGUGUGCCUUUUUAGAUGUGUGUUGGCCAUUUGGAUAUCUCCUUUUGUGAAGCUCUUGUUUACAUUAUUUUUAAGUUGAGUUGUUAAAGUUCAUCUGGUCCUAAGAUUUUCUAUGUGUGUCCUGGAUAGGAGUCCUUUGCCAGGUAUGUUUGCUACAACUACCUUCUCCUACUGUGUGGUUCCCUUUUUCACUUUUUGGUUUCUUACAGAAACUUUAUUGUUUUACCUUUCCCACUUGGGUUUACUACUGGAAUUGUUGAGUUUAUUUCUGGAAUCUCAGUUCUAGUCCAUUGAUCAUUCUGUCUAUAUGUCUAUCUCUAUACCAGUACCACAUUGUCUUGAAUGCUAUAUCUUUUUGUAGGGUUAUGUAGAUUUUGAAAUCUGAAAGUGUGAGCGCUCCAAACUUGUCCUUCUUUUUCAAGACUGUGUUGGCUACUUAGGAUCUUUUUGUAGUUCCUGAUGAAUAUGAGGAUUGAUUUGUCUAUUUCUGGAAUAAGGGAGUUGGAAUUUUGAUAGGAGUCUCAUUGAAUCUGUAAAUGAACUUGGGGAACAUUGCUGUGUUAACAACAUUAGGUCUUACUAUCUAUGAACACAGGAUACCUUUUCUUUUCUUUUUUUUUUUUCAGGAUACCUUUUCUUAUUUAGAUCUUUACUUUUGUCCAAGAAAGUAUUAUAGUUUUCUAAGUUCAAGUUUUCUGGGGUUUGGUUAUUUUUUCUUUUAUAGUUUUCUUUUAAUAUUAUUGUAAAUAGGAUUGCUUUCUUAAUUUCAUUUUUGAAUUGUUCAUUGCUAGUAUAUAAAAAUACUGCUUUUUUGAGGACCAAUUGUGUAUCCUAUAACUUCACCAAACUUGUUCAGUAGCUUUAGCUUUUGCUGUUGAUUCUUUAGGAUUUAUGUAAGAUCAUGUCACCUGCAGAUAGAUACAGUUUUCCUUCUUUUCCAGUUGGAUACCUUUUAUUUCUUUUCUUUAUAAGAUUUAGUUUAUUUUCUUGACUCAAGGCAUCCUGGAUUAUUGUAAGCCAUUGGUUAAUUUCCAGAGUUCAGAAAAAGUUGAUUUUGAGGAAUUUUGCUAGUGUUUUGAUAGCUUUUAUGGAAGGGCAAACUUUUGAGGUUCUUACUCCUCCAUUUUUGUGG